AAUGAACGCUGGCGGCGUGCUUAACACAUGCAAGUCGAACGAGCAAGUGCUGUAGCAAUACAGAUUACUGCUAGUGGCAAACGGGUGAGUAAUACAUGGGAAUCUGCCUUGGAGUCUGGGAUAACAGUUGGAAACGACUGCUAAUACCGGAUAUUGCCGAGAGGUGAAAGAAUUUCGCUCCGAGAUGAGCCCAUGGAAGAUUAGCAGUUGGUGAGGUAAUGGCUCACCAAGGCAACGAUCGGUAGCUGGUCUGAGAGGAUGAUCAGCCACACUGGGACUGAGACACGGCCCAGACUCCCACGGGAGGCAGCA
rnacentral:rRNA from 1 species